rnacentral:rRNA from 1 species
UGGGGAAUAUUGCACAAUGGGGGAAACCCUGAUGCAGCAACGCCGCGUGAGUGAUGAAGGUCUUCGGAUUGUAAAGCUCUGUCUUUUGGGACGAUUAUGACGGUACCAAAGGAGGAAGCCACGGCUAACUACGUGCCAGCAGCCGCGGUAAUACGUAGGUGGCAAGCGUUGUCCGGAUUUACUGGGCGUAAAGGGUGCGUAGGCGGAUGUUUAAGUGAGAUGUGAAAUACCCGGGCUUAACUUGGGUACUGCAUUUCAAACUGGAUAUCUAGAGUGCAGGAGAGGAGAAUGGAAUUCCUAGUGUAGCGGUGAAAUGCGUAGAGAUUAGGAAGAACACCAGUGGCGAAGGCGAUUCUCUGGACUGUAACUGACGCUGAGGCACGAAAGCGUGGGUAGCAAACAGG